GUGCUCGCUUCUGCAGCACCUAUACUAAAAGGGGAAGGAUACAGAGAAGAUUAACACAGCUCCUGCGCAAGGAUGACACACAAACUUGUGGUGUUCCAUAUUUAA
ensembl:snRNA U6 U6 spliceosomal RNA